CGGCGGGACGCCAGCGGCGCGCGUGACGUCAGCGCGUUGACGUGGCUUCCUAGGCGGGAGGGAGUGCCGCUUGGGAGAGCUGCUGGGCUCCUGAGGGAGGCGUCAGCCAACAUCUAGUGACCCGUUCCCCUUACCGAGCGCCUUGCCAGGAGCUGUGGAGAAGACGCGCUCGUAGUCAGGCACAAAAAGAUGUCCGCGUUUUCACCACAGCGCAGUUCAGUGUGAUGUUAGAGAAAGAAAUGCGCCAGGUAGGUGUGUUGCGGAAAUGCAGAGCCCUCUUUUAACCCAGUGAAGGAGUCCAGGAAAGAAGCGAAGAGAGAAGCAUCACCUAUGCCGGUCCUGGAGCCAGUACGGUUAGAAAGAGGAGCAGAGGAGGCUGCAGAAGCAAAUAGGCCACAACGGAAAGGGCCGCAUUUGACACGUUUACGAGUUAGAGAUGAAGCUUGCAUGGACUCACAAGUGGAUUCCCUAGUGACGCUGUGGGGAGCCUGUGCAAGAAGCUGCAGUGGAUACCGAUAGACCUUCAUCCAGCCCCCUAUCUAGAUAAAUCCCCAGACCCUGGUCAUGUCCAAGGUAACAUUGGGAUCCGAUCCUGGUGUCCAUGGAAUGAAUAGUCCCGAGCCGCUGAAGAGUGCUUUAAUGCCAAUGAAUUCUCCUUUACCUAGCUUGCAGUGUAUACUUCUCCUUCAAUAACAGCUGGUACGCUUCACGUGUUAGCCAGGAUCAGCGAUUCCCUUGAUACCUGUGCUGUUACUUCAAGGGUAAAAGUAUACUAUGUCCUUGCCAACUGUGGCAGCAUGUUUCUUGGUUAAAAAAAAAAAAAAAGUAUGCUUAAUCUUGAUGGUCUCACUACUACAUUAAGAAAAAACAGGGGAUCCCUGGGUGGUGCAACGGUUAAGCGCCUGCCUUUGGCCCAGGGCGCGAUCCUGGAGACCCGGGAUCGAAUCCCACAUGGGGCUCCCGGUGCAUGGAGCCUGCUUCUCCCUCCGCCUGUGUCUCUGCCUCUCUCUCUCUCUCUCUCAUUCUCUCUCUCUCUCUCUGUGACUAUCAUAAAUAAAUAAAAAUUAAAAAAGAAAAAGAAGAAACAUACUACCAGGGUAGGCACACUUGUAACUUCAUUUGUAUAAAACUCAGUAUGUAAGCGUGUGUGUGCACGUGCAUAGAAUCCCCAGCAUGUGACAGCUACAUGUGUAGAUUAAGACAGAGGAUUUAUGUUGGCACCUCAGACAUCCAAGAUGAGCAUAGCUAUGAGUGAUGUGAUUCUUCUGAAUUAGCAAGCCAUUAUGGUGAAAAUCCAGAACAAAAUAAAAUCAGUCUUUCCUUGA